CUCUCUGCAAAUAUUUUCUGUGAUUUUUCCAAAAUGAAUUUUCCACCUCAUAUGUAUUGAAGAAAAAAAAUCACAGGACGUAAAUUUGCGUAGUGAAUAAGUUUAUAUAAAAAAAUGGAACUAUUUAAUCCAAAAAUGACAUGUCUGUAAUCAAGAAACUAAUGUAUUUUUUCUUCUUUUGUAUAUUGGAUUGGAUUGUAACACAAUGAAUGAAAAACUGAACCCCACACGAUCGUUGAUUCUUCGAUGGAUAAUUGAGAGAUGGACCCGCGCGUUUUGGAUGGAUUAUUUUAUCAUCGAUAAUAAUAAUUAUUAAAAGGAUAUUUAAUUAUGAUAAAGUCACAGUAAUGGGACAGGAUUGCAUUAACCAAGAGGAAAGAUAUAAAAAAAAGUAUUGAGGAUUGAGGAUUAAAAAAAAUUUUCACGAAUGGAAUUUCAUCGAGACCGAUGCACACAAGGCCACGAUUUAUCAGAGGACCCAUGACUCUUAUCAAUUUGUCACUUUAACGAAUAUUCGUUCACUACUCAGUAUCACUGUGGAGAACAAUAGUGUUUCAGUGAGCAAUUGACUCUCAACUUUGAUUUACCGUAUUUGUUUUCGACUGAACAUUUUUUUAAAAAUUCUUUUAAUUAUUUGAGGGACAAUCGAGGAACAAUCGUGAUAAAUUUUUCAUAAUAAAUUGUUGUUAUCAUCAAAGUGUACGUUGAGUGCGCCGAGGAGCUGUGAGGAAUGGGAAAUGCUCCAAGAGGAUGUUGAAAUCGUUUAAACUCAUUCGAUAUUAAUCAUUAAUAAUCGGCCUUGCGUCUCGAUGGGAUCUGGCUGUUUUUAGAGGAUUGAACUGACGAGAGCAUUUUAAUUGGGAUUUAGGAUAUCUUCGCGGGAUUUUGUUAAUGGAUUUAUCAGUCCGUCGGAGUUAUGGAGUAUAUUUGGAUCACAGGAUGUGGGAUUAUGUAUUAAGAGAAUGGUCAUUGUCAAUUGUGUGGAACAGAGGCUUCUCGCCUCCUAGGGCUCACACUAGGUUGGAACAAUUGGAAAUUGGAUCACUCUUGGAUUAUCGUGUUUAAAUGGAAUCUCAGAGGAUUGGAUACCUGAGAGGACAGGUAGAUUGCUUUGCAGGUCUCUUGGGGCAUCACAGGAUAUUCGCUGUAUAUUCUUUUAUUGAUUGAAUAAAUUUGAAGAUUCACAGAA